rnacentral:rRNA from 1 species
CGCUGGCGGCGUAGCCUAACACAUGCAAGUCGAACGGGGAUUUUGUUUCGGCAGAAUCCUAGUGGCGAACGGGUGAGUAACGCGUAGGCAACCUGCCCUCCGGACCGGGACAACACCCCGAAAGGGGUGCUAAUACCGGAUGCGAAGUACGUACCGCAUGGUAAGUAUUUGAAAGAUGGCCUCUACAUGUAAGCUAUCGCCGGGGGAUGGGCCUGCGUCCGAUUAGCUGGUUGGUGGGGUAACGGCCCACCAAGGCGACGAUCGGUAGCCGGUCUGAGAGGAUGAACGGCCACAUUGGGACUGAGACACGGCCCAGACUCCUACGGGAGGCAGCAGUGGGGAAUCUUCCGCAAUGGGCGCAAGCCUGACGGAGCAACGCCGCGUGGGUGAGGAAGUUCUUCGGAACGUAAAGCCCUGUUGUUUAUGACGAACGGUCCCUCUAUCAACAACGGAGGGGAAUGACGGUAGUAGACGAGGAAGCCCGGCUAACUACGUGCC